GUGAAAUUAGCUGUACAAAGUCAGUAGUUUAAAACUGUUGAUCAAGAAACAAAAUGAAAAAUGAACAGCAGGUGGCAGUACUAUCAAGAGCAGUGAUUCUGAUGAGUGUCAUCAGCUAGUGUUCGUGUACUGUCCGUUCUUCUGCAAAAGAAAGAUACUGAGACACUCUUUUCUUGCAUGAAAUAGAGCAAGUGAGAAGGCAGGGUGCUCCAUGUUUUGAGCUAAUUAGUGGGACGCUGGUGGAAGCAAGACAUAUGCCCAGAACCAGGUGGAAGGCUUUGUUUUCCUGGAGCCAGCUGUCGGGAUUGCCUUCUGGCAGCAUCUUUUGUAAAAUGAAAGAAGCACAAUAGAAAAAAAAAUUAGAAAUAAAGAAAAAGACUCCUCUGACUAAACUGGGCUAUACAGUCUGAUUAUUUCAGUGAAGGAUCUUAGUGCAUGUAUCACACACUGACAGAGCUUUAGAAAAUUGUUAAAGGAGCUGACUCGGAACUGUGAACUACAGAGGUCAUUCUUCUGAUCAUGAUGCUGUAUGGAUGCUGGAGCUGAAAAAGGAGAGAGGAGGAUUCUUUCAGGAAAUGAACUGCGCUGUGAUUAUGGAGCUGACUAAGUUUUAGUGACCUCUCAGCUGUCCUUCUAAGGAGCCGUGAUAUGGCAUUCCUAAAUAAUAUGAGGCCUAAAUGGCAUACAAUUCUCAAAAUUUGAAAAGCUAUAGUAAGUAAAAUACAUAAAUUAAAUGUGGUAAGCUAUACAAUUGUGUAUAUUUUAUUCUGUUUCUCAAUAACUUCCAAAUCAGAGAGUCAAGAAAAGUAAGAGUCUGAAGACAGAAUGAAAAGAGGGGUCUGUAUGGUGUAUGGUCCAUCAACACCGUUGAAAGGCUGUUAUAAACUAGAGUGGAUCAAAAUGCAUCAUGAGCAAAGGUGUCAUACACUUUUUCCUGUGCACUUUGCCCCUCAGAAAGAUUACUGUGCUCUUCAGAAAGCACUCCCCAUAGUUUAGCCAAAAGUUUCAGUUUGUACAAAAUGUAUAAUAUGUAUAUAUAUAUUUUUUCCCUCUUUGUAAGAAAAGAUUAGAUACUUCAGGAUGUUUUUGACCAAUCUAGGCAUGGAACCAAAAUUGAAACUAGUUGUAAACUAGAUCUUAGGUCUUUAGGAUAACCUUUAAAAUGGCCAGUGCCUGAUUUGUGGAUACAGUGGUGCUGCAAAAUGUCUGCAGGAUGACUGAGAACUGUAAACUGUGAUUCUAGAUUUAUAGGAAAUACCAUAGCUUUGAUAUACUGGGAACAGUUUGGCAGACUGUUUUUGCUUUUUUUGCAGAAAUGGGAUGGCUUUUUGAGCAUACUUCUUGAGACAUUUGGGGUUUUUACUCAAUGUAGAUCAGGAUGCUUCAAGAAUGUUAUCUGUUGCACUCCUGUAUUUUGCAAAUGCAAUUGAUUCUGUAAUUAGCUGUGCCAAAUGUAUGCUUAGUGAAGAACCUGCUUUUUUGAAGUGCUUGCCAGAAGCACAUGAUUUAUCAUGCCUUUUAUAAACACACAAAUAUUGACAUGCGUAGCAAUUUAAGCUAGCAUUUGCAAGUUCAUGGUGUAACAGGUAACAGUAAGUAGUUAUUACUAGUGUGAUAAUUGUACUAAGGGGUCCCAGAAUGUAAUAGUAACAAAGUCUAUGGCUAAUUAAUUUUGCUAACAUGAAAAGAACAUCUAGUCAAACACGCAUAGUCUAGAUUAAAUCCGAAUUUUUGCUUUUUAAAGUCUGUGCCUUCUGCAGAGAAUCAUGUGUUUCCUGACCACUUCUAGAUAAAUAUAUGUCUUUUCUGAAGUCAUUUAGUAUCUGAGUAUCUAAGAUCCCAGUCUACACUGGCUAAUAGAAACUGCUGAGCACAGGGUAGAAAAAGA